rnacentral:rRNA from 1 species
UACGUAGGUGGCAAGCGUUGUCCGGAUUUAUUGGGUUUAAAGGGUGCGUAGGCGGCCCUGUAAGUCAGUGCUGAAAUAUCCCGGCUUAACCGGGAGGGUGGCAUUGAUACUGCGGGGCUAGAGUACAGAUGAGGUAGGCGGAAUUGACGGUGUAGCGGUGAAAUGCUUAGAUAUCGUCAAGAACACCUAUAGCGAAGGCAGCUUACUAGGCUGUAACUGACGCUGAGGCGCGAAAGCUAGGGGAGCAAACAGG